rfam:Tetraodon nigroviridis, WGS project CAAE01000000 data, contig: CNS0BR2L, chromosome: undetermined
CAGACUUUACUCUGAAGGAUCAUUUCUUUAGUUGUUGACUGAGAAAUGUGUUUCUAAAGAGUUUGGUCUCACUGCCCACGAUGAAGAGCUGAGAUGUUUCCUUCAGAGCAGGAAGCUGGUGGGAAGACUUUGCUUCUUCUCCACUGAUGAAGACUGUUCAGAGUUUCUCUGAGACUCUGAUGAAGGAGACAUGAUCUGAGUGGU